UUUGUGGCCAGCCGGUGCGCUAAUACGUAGGUGGCAAGCGUUAUCCGGAAUUAUUGGGCGUAAAGCGCGCGUAGGCGGUUUAUAAGUCUGAUGUGAAAGCUCACGGCUCAACCGUGGAGAGUCAUUGGAAACUGGAAAACUUGAGUGCAGAAGAGGAAAGUGGAAUUUCAUGUGUAGCGGUGAAAUGCGCAGAGAUAUGGAGGAACACCAGUGGCGAAGGCGACUCUCUGGUCUGUAACUGACGCUGAUGUGCGAAAGCGUGGAGAUCAAACAGGAUUAGAUACCCUGGUAGUCCACGCCGUAAACGAUGAGUGCUAAGUGUUAGGGGGUUUCCGCCCCUUAGUGCUGCAGCUAACGCAUUAAGCACUCCUCCUGGGGAGUACGACCGCAAGGUUGAAACUCAAAGGAAUUGACGGGGACCCGCACAAGCGGUGGAGCAUGUGGUUUAAUUAGAAGCAACGCGAAGAACCUUACCAAAUCUUGACAUCCUCUGACCCCUCUAGAGAUAGAGUUUUCCCCUUCGGGGGACAGAGUGACAGGUGGUGCAUGGUUGUCGUCAGCUCGUGUCGUGAGAUGUUGGGUUAAGUCCCGCAACGAGCGCAACCCUUAAGCUUAGUUGCCAUCAUUAAGUUGGGCACUCUAAGUUGACUGCCGGUGACAAACCGGAGGAAGGUGGGGAUGACGUCAAAUCAUCAUGCCCCUUAUGAUUUGGGCUACACACGUGCUACAAUGGACAAUACAAAGGGUAGCGAAACCGCGAGGUCAAGCAAAUCCCAUAAAGUUGUUCUCAGUUCGGAUUGUAGUCUGCAACUCGACUAUAUGAAGCUGGAAUCGCUAGUAAUCGUAGAUCAGCAUGCUAUCGGCUCCC
rnacentral:rRNA from 1 species